rnacentral:tRNA from 1 species
AUGCCUAGAUGANUAUUCUUACUCCAUAAACA